ensembl:misc_RNA predicted gene, 27987
CUGAGGGGAGAACCCUCCUCUUCUCUUUUGAGGUCACUCAUAGGAUCUGGCAAACUCUACAACCUUUUUUUAAAGAUACCUUCCCCAGAGGC